AUUGAACGCUGGCGGCAGGCCUAACACAUGCAAGUCGAGCGGAUGAGGAAAGCUUGCUUUUCGAUUCAGCGGCGGACGGGUGAGUAAUGCCUAGGAAUCUGCCUGUUAGUGGGGGAUAACUCGGGGAAACUCGGGCUAAUACCGCAUACGUCCUACGGGAGAAAGUGGGGGAUCUUCGGACCUCACGCUAACAGAUGAGCCUAGGUCGGAUUAGCUAGUAGGUGAGGUAAUGGCUCACCUAGGCGACGAUCCGUAACUGGUCCGAGAGGAUGGUCCGUCACACUGGAACUGAGCAACGGUCCAGACACCUACGGGAGGCAGCAGUGGGGAAUAUUGGACAAUGGGCGAAAGCCUGAUCCAGCCAUGCCGCGUGUGUGAAGAAGGUCUUCGGAUUGUAAAGCACUUUAAGUUGGGAGGAAGAGUAUUCACCUAAUACGUCGGUACUUUGACGUUACCAACAGAAUAAGCACCGGCUAACUCUGUGCCAGCAGCCGCAGUAACAC
rnacentral:rRNA from 1 species